AAGUUUCAACAACGGUCUCUUGGCUCUCGCAUCGAUGAAGAACGCAGCGAAAUGCGAUAAGUAAUGUGAAUUGCAGAAUUCAGUGAAUCAUCGAAUCUUUGAACGCACCUUGCGCUCCUUGGUAUUCCUUGGAGCAUGCCUGUUUGAGUAUCAU
rnacentral:rRNA from 1 species